AACGAACGCUGGCGGCAUGCCUAACACAUGCAAGUCGAACGAGACCUUCGGGUAUAGUGGCGCACGGGUGCGUAACGCGUGGGAACCUGCCCUUAGGUUCGGAAUAACUCCCCGAAAGGGGUGCUAAUACCGGAUAAUGUCUUCGGACCAAAGAUUUAUCGCCUUUGGUUGGGCCCGCGUUGGAUUAGCUAGUUGGUAGGGUAAAAGCCUACCAAGGCGACGAUCCAUAGCUGGUCUGAGAUGAUGAUCAGCCACACUGGGACUGAGACACGGCCCAGACUCCUACGGGAGGCAGCAGUGGGGAAUAUUGGACAAUGGGCGAAAGCCUGAUCCAGCAAUGCCGCGUGAGUGAUGAAGGCCUUAGGGUUGUAAAGCUCUUUUACCCGGGAUGAUAAUGACAGUACCGGGAGAAUAAGCUCCGGCUAACUCCGUG
rnacentral:rRNA from 1 species